rnacentral:misc_RNA from 1 species
GCAAACUUGGUCAUUUAGAGGAAGUAAAAGUCGUAACAAGGUUUCCGUAGGUGAACCUGCGGAAGGAUCAUUACUGUAACUGUCGAGGGCUGGCUCUGCUGGCCCGCACGACAUUACCCCUGUUUUUGUGCACUCUUGUUUCCUCGACAGGCUUGCCUGUCGAUAGGACUACUUUACAUCACCUUAUGUAGUAAUUCGCGUCAGAAAAACAUAAUAUUUACAACUUUCAACAACGGAUCUCUUGGUUCUGGCAUCGAUGAAGAACGCAGC